CCUACGGGGGGCAGCAGUCGAGAAUCAUUCACAAUGGGGGAAACCCUGAUGGUGCGACGCCGCGUGGGGGAAUGAAGGUCUUCGGAUUGUAAACCCCUGUCAUGUGGGAGCAAAUUAAAAAGAUAGUACCACAAGAGGAAGAGACGGCUAACUCUGUGCCAGCAGCCGCGGUAAUACAGAGGUCUCAAGCGUUGUUCGGAAUCACUGGGCGUAAAGCGUGCGUAGGCUGUUUCGUAAGUCGUGUGUGAAAGGCGCGGGCUCAACCCGCGGACGGCACAUGAUACUGCGAGACUAGAGUAAGGGAGGGGGAACCGGAAUUCUCGGGGUAGCAGUGAAAUGCGUAGAUAUCGAGAGGAACACUCGUGGCGAAGGCGGGUUCCUGGACAUUAACUGACGCUGAGGCACGAAGGCCAGGGGAGCGAAAGGGAUUAGAUACCCUUGUAGUC
rnacentral:rRNA from 1 species